AUUGAACGCUGGCGGCAGGCCUAACACAUGCAAGUCGAGCGGAUGAAGGGAGCUUGCUCCUGGAUUCAGCGGCGGACGGGUGAGUAAUGCCUAGGAAUCUGCCUGGGAGUGGGGGAUAACGUCCGGAAACGGGCGCUAAUACCGCAUACGUCCUGAGGGGGAAAGUGGGGGGUCUUCGGACCUCACGCUAUCAGAUGAGCCUAGGUCGGAUUAGCUAGUUGGUGGGGUGAAGGCCUACCAAGGCGACGAUCCGUAACUGGUCUGAGAGGAUGAUCAGUCACACUGGAACUGAGACACGGUCCAGACUCCUACGGGAGGCAGCAGUGGGGAAUAUUGGACAAUGGGCGAAAGCCUGAUCCAGCCAUGCCGCGUGUGUGAAGAAGGUCUUCGGAUUGUAAAGCACUUUAAGUUGGGAGGAAGGGCAGUAAGUUAAUACCUUGCUGUUUUGACGUUACCAACAGAAUAAGCACCGGCUAACUUCGUG
rnacentral:rRNA from 1 species